AACUUUCGACAAUGGAUCUCUUGGCUUUCGCAUCGAUGAAGAACGCAGCGAAAGUGCGAAACGUAAUGUGAAUUGCAGAAUUCAGUGAAUCAUCGAAUCUUUGAACGCAUCUUGCGCUCCUCGGUAUUCCGAGGAGCAUGCCUGUUUGAGUGUCGUGAAAGUCUCUCGACUCUCCCCUCUUUGUGAGGGGUCCGUCGGAUUUUGGACGUUGCCGUCCCAGUGACGGCUCGUCUCGAAAUGCAUUAGCCUGUUCCCAUCUCGGUUCCACUGACGAAAUGGCGUGAUAAAUGAAAACUCGCUUGCGUUCGGGACCUUGGGGAAGAGAAGGGCUUACAGUCGUCUCCUCGUGAGACAAUACGAUACCCUCGAUCUGACCUCAAAUCAGGUAGGACUACCCGCUGAACUUAAGCAUAUCAAUAAGCGGAGGCU
rnacentral:misc_RNA from 1 species